rnacentral:rRNA from 1 species
CCUACGGGAGGCAGCAGUAGGGAAUAUUGCUCAAUGGGGGAAACCCUGAAGCAGCAACGCCGCGUGGAGGAUGAAGGUUUUCGGAUUGUAAACUCCUUUUGUUAGAGAAGAUAAUGACGGUAUCUAACGAAUAAGCACCGGCUAACUCCGUGCCAGCAGCCGCGGUAAUACGGAGGGUGCAAGCGUUACUCGGAAUGACUGGGCGUAAAGAGCGCGUAGGCGGGAUAGCAAGUCAGAUGUGAAAUCCUAUGGCUUAACCAUAGAACUGCAGUUGAAACUGUUAUGCUAGAGUAUGGGAGAGGUAGGCGGAAUUCUUGGUGUAGGGGUAAAAUGCGUAGAGAUCAAGAGGAAUACUGAUUGCGAAGGCGACCUGCUAGAACAUAACUGACGCUGAUGCGCGAAAGCGUGGGGAGCAAACAGGAUUAGAUACCCUUGUAGUC